GCCUACGGCCAUCCCCCCUGGUAACGCCCGAUCUCGUCUGAUCUCGGAAGCUAAGCAGGGUCGGGCCUGGUUAGUACUUGGAUGGGAGACCUCCUGGGAAUACCGGGUGCUGUAGGCU
rnacentral:rRNA from 1 species